UAUGACGUUAUGAUACUGACAUAACAGACAUGUUAACCAAAGUUGCAGACAUAACCUUUGAACAAAUUCUUAAGCGGAACAAGUUUAUUACGAUUGCUGAAAAGUCACUGGUCAGCAGGAUGGGAUACAGUCAAACUUAAGAAUACCUGUCAGACGAGCUUGCUUAGGUUUCCGAUGAUGAGAAGAAAAUUAGGUCUGCUGCAACACGGACCUUUACGCACCAAGUAGAACAAGUAACAAGAGCAUUUUAAAGAUCAAGAAGCUAAUCCAGAGAAAAGAUUUGUAAAGGGGAUCAUUUUUGACCUACAUGUAGUUAAACACACGUUUGGGAAAAAAUAAUUCAGUGCUUCUUUCAUGGUAUCCAGUUGAGUACACAUAAGAUUUUUAAUGAGUACUAACUAGUAAAAAAGUUAAAAAAGAAUAGAUGGAUAUCUGACAUGUGCAGCAGAUAAAAUAUAUAGUUAACAUGAGCUUUACCUAAAAUGUAAUACAGUACCCAAGA
rnacentral:lncRNA from 1 species